GUGAGGAAUAUUGGUCAAUGGGCGGGAGCCUGAACCAGCCAAGUCGCGUGAAGGAAGAAGGCUUUCGGGUUGUAAACUUCUUUUACCAGGGACGAAACAAAUGACGGUACCUGGUGAAUAAGCCACGGCUAACUACGUGCCAGCAGCCGCGGUAAUACGUAGGUGGCGAGCGUUAUCCGGAUUUAUUGGGUGUAAAGGGCGUGUAGGCGGGACAGCAAGUCAGAUGUGAAAACCAGAGGCUCAACCUCUGGCCUGCAUUUGAAACUGUUGUUCUUGAGUGUCGGAGAGGUAAUCGGAAUUCCGUGUGUAGCGGUGAAAUGCGUAGAUAUACGGAGGAACACCAGUGGCGAAGGCGGAUUACUGGACGAUAACUGACGCUGAGGCGCGAAAGCGUGGGGAGCAAACAGGAUUAGAAACCCGAGUAGUCC
rnacentral:rRNA from 1 species